CGCUGAACUAGCCUGUUGCCAUGGGCGACGGCACGUCCACACUGCUCGGGUGAAUCACAGGAACUCGACACUGCUCUCAACGGUGAAAGCCUUCCCUCAGAUGCCAACCGAAGAAAAUUACUCAGGAGGUGGAAAGACUUGGUCAGCACCUACCUGAGGAAGCUGAGGAGGAGCAAAGGAGCAGAUCUUUGUGAAGACCUUGGCAAGCAAGACUAUCACCUUGGAGGCUGAGCCCAAGGACAUCAUGCGGAAUGUCAAAGCCAAACCCCAGAUAUUGAGAAGAGCAUCCUACCUAACCAGCAGCAUCUGAUAUUUACAGGCAAAUAGCUGGAAGAUGGUACAAUCUCUCUGACCACAACAUCCAGAAAGAGUCUACCUGCCCUUGCUUGGAAGGUAGCAUCAUCGAGCCUUCCCCACAUCCUCUCACCCAGAAGUAUAACAAGAUGAUCUGUCAACUGUUACGCUCACCUGCAUCUUUGUGCUGUCAGCUGCCACCAGAAGCUCAACCAUACCAACAACUUCUCCCACAAGAAAGGUGGUCAAGUAGAACCCUCCAUCCACUCCUCCUUUCCUGGAAGGGCUGCUCCCUGCCCAAGCUACAUGGCAUUAGGACCUCAAUAAAAUUUUGAGGGAGGAAGAGAGUGUGGCUAACACUAGCUGGGAAAGGUGUGACAAGAUCCCGGAACACAUGCACAGUACAGUUCUCAAAACCCUGCAUGUGAACUUCUUUAAAGAACUCAAGCAGGUUUUCGAUAGGAUGGACUAGAGUGAAACCAGUGUGGGAAAUACAUAAAAGAGACAGUCUCCAUUAAGCUCUUAUUAUCCUGCCUGUUCAGGGUAGCCCACUCUACACCAUAGGGUGAGUUUCUAUUUUUAUUUUUUUUCCUCCCUUUCUACUGGAUCCAAAGCUUUUCCGUAGAACCCAUUUUCUUCUUACACUUCUGUUUUUUCCUAUUUUUAAUAAAUGUGAAACUC